UACGGAGGGUGCAAGCGUUAUCCGGAUUCACUGGGUUUAAAGGGUGCGUAGGCGGGCAGGUAAGUCAGUGGUGAAAUCUCCGGGCUUAACCCGGAACUGCCGUUGAUACUAUCUGUCUUGAAUAUAGUGGAGGUGAGCGGAAUAUGUCAUGUAGCGGUGAAAUGCUUAGAUAUGACAUAGAACACCCAUUGCGAAGGCAGCUCGCUACACUAUCAUUGACGCUGAGGCACGAAAGCGUGGGAUCAAACAGG
rnacentral:rRNA from 1 species